AAGACCUCAUGCUCGUGGAGCGGCCGAUAUCUGAUUAGCUAGUUGGUAGGGUAAAAGCCUACCAAGGCAUCGAUCAGUAGCUGGUCUGAGAGGACGACCAGCCACACUGGAACUGAGACACGGUCCAGACUCCUACGGGAGGCAGCAGUGGGGAAUUUUGGACAAUGGGCGAAAGCCUGAUCCAGCAAAGCCGCGUGAGUGAAGAAGGCCUUCGGGUUGUAAAGCUAAGGGUCAGGGAAGAAACGGUUAGAGCUA
rnacentral:rRNA from 1 species